GACGAACGCUGGCGGCGUGCUUAACACAUGCAAGUCGAACGGAAAGGCCCUGCUUUUGUGGGGUGCUCGAGUGGCGAACGGGUGAGUAACACGUGAGUAACCUGCCCUUGACUUUGGGAUAACUUCAGGAAACUGGGGCUAAUACCGGAUAGGAGCUCCUGCUGCAUGGUGUGGGUUGGAAAGUUUCGGCGGUUGGGGAUGGACUCGCGGCUUAUCCGCUUGUUGGUGGGGUAGUGGCUUACCAAGGCUUUGACGGGUAGCCGGCCUGAGAGGGUGACCGGGCACAUGGGGACUGAGAUACGGCGCAGACGCCUACGGGAGGCAGCAGUGGGGAAUAUUGCACAAUGGGCGGAAGCCUGAGGCAGCAACGCCGCGUGCGGGAUGACGGCCUUCGGGUUGUAAACCGCUGUCGCCUGUGACGAAGCGUGAGUGACGGUAAUGGGUAAAGAAGCACCGGCUAACUACGUG
rnacentral:rRNA from 1 species